rnacentral:rRNA from 1 species
CCCUUAGAUGUUCUGGGCCGCACGCGCGCUACACUGACUGGCUCAGCGUGUGCCUACCCUCCGCCGGCAGGCGCGGGUAACCCGUUGAACCCCAUUCGUGAUGGGGAUCGGGGAUUGCAAUUAUUCCCCAUGAACGAGGAAUUCCCAGUAAGUGCGGGUCAUAAGCUUGCGUUGAUUAAGUCCCUGCCCUUUGUACACACCGCCCGUCGCUACUACCGAUUGGAUGGUUUAGUGAGGCCCUCGGAUCGGCCCCGCCGGGGUCGGCCCACGGCCCUGGCGGAGCGCUGAGAAGACGGUCGAACUUGACUAUCUAGAGGAAGUAAAAGUCGUAACA